rnacentral:rRNA from 1 species
UACGGAGGGUGCGAGCGUUGUCCGGAAUCAUUGGGCGUAAAGGCGCGUGGGUGGCCCGGUGAGUCUUUGGUGAAAGCGCGGGGCUCAACCCUGCGUCGGCCAGGGAUACUGCCGCGGCUCGAGCACUGUAGAGGCAGGCGGAAUUCCGGGUGUAGCGGUGGAAUGCGUAGAGAUCCGGAAGAACACCGGUGGCGAAGGCGGCCUGCUGGGCAGUGGCUGACGCUGAGGCGCGACAGCGUGGGGAGCAAACAGG